rnacentral:rRNA from 1 species
AUGGCGUGGCAAUUGCAGCAAACAAUGGCCACGAUGAGUACAUGCUUUCAGACGUCCUCGCCGGCAACGGUGCGCUGUGCCGCGGCGGCUCGGCGGUCUGCCAACUACGCUCCCAGCUCCUGGGAUUACGACUCCCUCCUCCAGCUCUCGCCCAACAAUGGCGGACAGCUGGCAGAUCAAGUCGAUAUGUUGAAGGCCGGCGUGAGGGAGCGGCUGGUGGCGGCGAGCCGAGGCGACCACCAAGCUGCGAAGCUCAGGCUUGUCGACACAGUACAACGGCUCGGCAUCGCCUACCAUUUCGAGGAGGAGAUCGCCAGUAUCCUUAGCUCCAUCCACCACCGCAAGCCUCACCGGUGCAGCUGGGACGACAAUGCCAGUGAUGUUGCCUCUGUGGCCUUGAGGUUCAGGUUGCUCAGGGACGGUGGUUUCCCAGUCUUCUUCCCUCCAGAAUCUCUGGAAACUCUCAAGCGUGGAUCCGACGAUGUCAGAGGACUCCUCUCACUCUACGAGGCUUCAUACCUUGCGUUCGGAGGAGAGGAAACAUUGGACGAGGCAAGAGCAUUUUCUAAGAAAGCUCUCAUAAAGCUCUUGCCAUCCAUGGAUCACCACGUACGAUGCAGUGUAGUUCGUUCUUUGGACCUUCCAUUGCACCGGAGGUCUCCUAGACUGGAAGCAAGAUGGUUCAUAGAUCACUAUGCUAGAGAUGAGAACAAUUCCGACCCGUUGCUUGUUAGAUUUGCAACGACAGACUUCAACAAUGUGCAAAGUGUGCAUCAGGAAGAACUCGCGAGACUCGCAAGGUGGUGGAAGGGGACUGCCCUUAGUGAAAAAUUGGGGUUCGCCAGGGAUCGUCUCAUGGAGUGCUUCCAUUACGCAAAUGGAAUUGUGUGGGAGCCAAACAAUGGAGCGUGUCGAGAAGUGCUUGCUAAAGUCGCCAAUCUAAUAGUUCACUUAGAUGAUGUUUAUGAUGUGUAUGGAACUCUAGAUGAACUUGUUCUCUUCACCGACGCCAUUGGAAGGUGGGAAGAAAGUCCUAGUGAAAGACUCCCCGAAUACAUGCAAGCACUCUAUUCCGUGAUGUACAGAACAUCCGCUGAGGUGGCUGAAAAUGUGUUGGAACAACAUGGUUGCGACGCUCGUCAUGUUCUUCAGAAAGCAUGGCGAGAGAUGGCGGAGUCUUUCCUGGUGGAGGCAAAGUGGCACCAUGGAAACCACAGACCAACACUGCGUGAGUAUCUGGACAAUGGAUCAAUUUCAGCCUCUGCUCCACUGUUGCUGCAACAUACGUUUCCCCUGCUACGUGUGGAUGAAAAGAUCACCCCAAUGUCUCUUGCUAAAGUUGGAAACUACCCUAAAUUAGUUCAGUCAGCGUCGUUAGUUCUUCGCCUCUGCAAUGACUCUGCAACCCACUCUGCCGAGCUGGAGCGAGGGGAUGCACCAUCAUCAAUAGCUAUUCACAUGUCGGAGAACAGCUCCAGUGAGCAAGAGUCCCGUGAAGCCAUGGAAGACCUUACUAUGGAAGCCUGGAAGUCGAUUAACGAAGAUGCAUUCAAACACUGCCAAUUUUCUAGAUCUUUUGCCAAGACUUGCGUGAAUUUGGCUCGAAUCUCACAUUGUGUUUACCAAGGCGGGGAUGGUUUUGGUGCGCCGGAUGGUCGGAAGAAAAAGCAAAUUAGGGAGUUGUUCUUGGACUCUUUCAUGAUUGAGGAACAUUAA